rnacentral:rRNA from 1 species
AUACGAAGGGGGCUAGCGUUGUUCGGAAUUACUGGGCGUAAAGCGCGCGUAGGCGGACUGAUCAGUUGGGGGUGAAAUCCCAGGGCUUAACCCUGGAACUGCCUCUAAUACUGUCAGUCUUGAGUUCGGGAGAGGUGAGUGGAAUUCCUAGUGUAGAGGUGAAAUUCGUAGAUAUUAGGAAGAACACCAGUGGCGAAGGCGGCUCACUGGCCCGAUACUGACGCUGAGGCGCGAAAGCGUGGGGAGCAAACAGGAUUAGAAACCCUAGUAGUCC